rnacentral:sRNA from 1 species
UGUCGCACCACGAGGCGCUGUCUA